GGCACCGGGUCCCGCCGCCCUCAGGGCAGCGCCACUGGUGGGCGGUGGGCGCUGUGCCCUCAGCGGGCUGUGGCUCGGCUGUAGCUCCCUCGGAGCAGCCUGCUGUGUGAGUUAGCAGGUCACGGUGCAUGGUCACAGCAGCUUCCAGCUUCCUCAUGAAUAAUCAGCUCCCAUCGCCCCUCGUGCACUGCAGGGCACGGUGCCGCGCCUCACAGAGGGCUCGUACUGCCCUGUGUGUUCCACGCGCUUCAUCCUGAGGCACUUAUUGUUCGUAAGUCCAGCAAAACCCAUAAAAACCCAGCCUAGAAGCUAAGGAAGCACACACACCGUGUGAUCCCAGCUGCCCAGGCUCUGGCAGUCACGCUGCAAGCACAGUAAUUAAUACUACAAGAUGUCCUGGCUGGUUUCUCAGUAGCCGCAUUACACGGGAGAUGUCUGAGGACCAGCUUAAAGCCCUGUGAGCGCAGCUCACCAAUUCCUUGACUUCCCCCUUCCUGCUUGCACAUCCUUCCACUCAUCAACCGGAGCCACAUGCUGAGGGCACGGGAAGCACACCCUGCUAUGAGCAGCACACCCUGCUCCGUGAUGGGAGCCCUCCUUCCAGCAGGGUGCCCGUGUGUGGUAGCUCCAGCUGCAGCGUGGGCUCGGUCCCACACCAGGUGCCUGCAUGGUGCUCAGCAGAUCAGGGACUGAACCACCCAGCUCUCAGGCAACUGCUGUCCCCGGACAGAAGCAGGAGCUCUGCCUUGCCUGUGGUGGAGGAUCCCAGCCCCGUCCCUCUGCAGCGCUACAACUGCUCGCCGGCAGCACGGCUCUGAGGCUGGGGCUUCUGGAUCUGUUCGGAGUCGUGAGUUACAACAUGUCCAGGGUAAUAAAAAUCCUGCACUUGCGAAGGGGUAGUUGUCAGCCACACAAAAGCCAUCUGUUAUGUUUUACAAAUGAAACCAGAGCAGCAGGCACAGUUCUGAUUACUUCAUCAAUUUCUUUCACGCUAGCCUGGAAUUUCAUCUGCAUGCCUACAGCAACUGGAUUCCAUCAGCAGCUCACACUAUCAGACAGAGAGCUUAAUCAGACAAAAGCAGACCUCCUGCUUACUACCUCUUUGGUAAUCAGGCUUCAAGGAAAAAAAAAAUAAAAGAGAAAAAUGAAAAAACAACAACAGAACACUUCAGGUUUUUCUCCUGAAUGGCAGGGAAAAAGACCUCCAACGUGAGAAGGUGAAGCCUCCUUCUCCAAGCUGUAGGACUGCAAGAGACUCUUCCCUAUUUUCCUGUGUUGUCAGCACAUUGUUAAUUAGGAUUCCCUGCUGCAGAUUGAGUUAACUGCAAAAUCUCACCUGCACAAAUAAACCACUUCUUCUAGUUCUGGAAAUUAUGCAUCUCCAGAGGACAGCUUUUGAGGUUUUCCUAGACGUUUCGCAGUGAGAUACCACCUAUAAUCUGUUCACCUGUCAGUACUUGCCCUUGUUUUGCCCUGCCCAGCAGCUGAAGGCUUUCUCCACUCAGAGACUCCCAUACACAAAAAGAUCAGCAAUUUUAUUCCUCGGUGCUUCCCUCCUAAGUGAGUUUGGAAUCAGCUGUAAAUGAGAGGUGAUCCGUGAGGCAGAAACAACAACAACAAAAAACAGCAAAAUCAGAGGAGCCUGACAAACAGGGUAGGAAGCCCACCAGAAAGAAGGUCACACCGGAUCAGGUCAAUUGCCCUGGCACUUCAGCUUGAUGUUUUUGCCCAGUAUUUCAAACAGACAAUUGAAAAGGUAUUUCUGCACACUGAAAAGAUCCCCUACGAGCCUUCUCUUCUCUGGAUGGAAUGGUUCCAGCUCUCUCAGCCUCUCCUGGUGUGUCAGGUGCUCCAGUCCCGCCAUCAUCCUUGCAGCACAUCGCAGGCCCCACUCCAGCAUGUCCAUGCUUCUCCCACGCUGUGGAGCCCAGGAUGGGAUGCGACAUCCCAGGUCAGAUGAAGUGAAUCCAGGUUCACCUACAAAACUUGACUCUUUAUGUAGAAGAAUGACAAUUUUUGUAUACAACACAGUGAAUAUCUGAGGAAAACAAAAAGACCUUUUAAGCUGCUCAAGCAAAAAAUGCGUACAGUUUAAGACAACCAUCUCAGGACUAACUCAGAAAGGAGCUGAUAGUUAUUCCACAAAGCCCACUUAAGACUCUACUGUUUAGUUUUAUACAAAAGAUGCUGCAAUACCAGAGGAACGGACAGCAGAAUUAUCCCUGAAGCAGAUCAGAGGGAUGGUCUAUGAGCUAACAGAAUUACUGCGAGAAGCAAAUCUUCUUUCUGCCGCAAAAACACGAAUAUAAAAAUCAGCACUGGGAAAAGACAGGUGGCGAACUCUCAGGUCACUACAGAACCACAGACUCGUGUUAUUAAGUAUUAAGAAACCGUAAUCCCAACGCUUUAACCCAUGACUGAAGGUAAUUUCGGUGGGAAUGAGGAAA